UACAGAGGGUGCGAGCGUUACUCGGAAUUACUGGGCGUAAAGGGUGCGUAGGUGGUUUUGUAAGUUAGAUGUGAAAUUCCUGGGCUUAACCUGGGGACUGCGUCUGAUACUGCGAAGCUAGAGUACUGUAGAGGGAAGUGGAAUUUCCGGUGUAGCAGUGAAAUGCGUAGAUAUCGGAAGGAACAUCAGUGGCGAAGGCGACUUCCUGGACAGAUACUGACACUGAGGCACGAAAGCGUGGGGAGCAAACAGG
rnacentral:rRNA from 1 species